rnacentral:rRNA from 1 species
UACAGAGGGGGCAAGCGUUGUUCGGAAUUACUGGGCGUAAAGGGCGCGUAGGCGGGCCGCCAAGUUCGAGGUGAAAUCCUCCGGCUCAACCGGAGAACUGCCUCGAAUACUGGAGGCCUCGAGGCGAGUAGGGGCACGCGGAACUGUGGGUGGAGCGGUGAAAUGCGUUGAUAUCCAUAGGAACUCCGGUGGCGAAGGCGGCGUGCUGGACCCGAUCUGACGCUGAGGCGCGAAAGCCAGGGGAGCAAACGGG